rnacentral:rRNA from 1 species
GAUGAACGCUAGCGAUAGGCUUAACACAUGCAAGUCGAGGGGCAGCAUGGUCUUAGCUUGCUAAGGCUGAUGGCGACCGGCGCACGGGUGCGUAACGCGUAUGCAACUUGCCUCACAGAGGGGGAUAACCCGUCGAAAGACGGACUAAUACCGCGUACACUUGGGAUAGGGCAUCCUGACCCAAGGAAAUGAACUUCGCUGUGAGAUAGGCAUGCGUCCCAUUAGCUAGUUGGUGAGGUAACGGCUCACCAAGGCGACGAUGGGUAGGGGAACUGAGAGGUUGAACCCCCACACUGGUACUGAGACACGGACCAGACUCCUACGGGAGGCAGCAGUGAGGAAUAUUGGUCAAUGGGCGAGAGCCUGAACCAGCCAAGUCGCGUGAAGGAUGACUGUCUUAUGGAUUGUAAACUUCUUUUAUACGGGAAUAACAAGAGCCACGUGUGGCUCCCUGCAUGUACCGUAUGAAUAAGCAUCGGCUAACUCCGUGCCAGCAGCCGCGGUAAUACGGAGGAUGCGAGCGUUAUCCGGAUUUAUUGGGUUUAAAGGGUGCGUAGGCGGCCUGUUAAGUCAGCGGUGAAAUCUAGGAGCUUAACUCCUAAAUUGCCAUUGAUACUGGCGGGCUUGAGUGUAGAUGAGGUAGGCGGAAUGCGUGGUGUAGCGGUGGAAUGCAUAGAUAUCACGCAGAACUCCGAUUGCGAAGGCAGCUUACUAAGGUACAACUGACGCUGAAGCACGAAAGCGUGGGUAUCAAACAGG